GAUGAACGCUGGCGGCGUGCCUAAUACAUGCAAGUCGAACGCAUUGUGGUUGAAAUGAUAUGAAGAACUUGUUCAGAUUUGAUUUUCAACAUUGCAAUGAGUGGCGAACGGGUGAGUAACACGUGGGAAACCUACCUCUUAGCAGGGGAUAACAUUUGGAAACAAAUGCUAAUACCGUAUAAUAAUUAAAACCGCAUGGUUUUAGUUUAAAGAUGGUCUUGCUAUCACUAAGAGAUGGUCCCGCGGUGUAUUAGUUAGUUGGUGAGGUAAUGGCUCACCAAGACAAUGAUACAUAGCCGAGUUGAGAGACUGACCGGCCACAAUGGGACUGAGACACGGCCCAUACUCCUACGGGAGGCAGCAGUAGGAUCUUCCACAAUAGGACGAAAGUACUGAUGGAGC
rnacentral:rRNA from 1 species